UACCUGCAGCUCAAGUGGUGGCCGCUAUUAUUGGGCCUAAAACGUUCGUAGCCGGCUGAGUAAAUGCUUGGGUAAAUCGUGCCGCUUAACGGUACGAAUUCCGGGUAGACUGCUCAGCUUGAGACCGGGAGAAGCUAGAGGUACUCCUGGGGUAGAGGUGAAAUUCUGUAAUCCUGGGGGGACCACCAGUGGCGAAGGCGUCUAGCUAGAACGGGUCUGACGGUGAGGGACGAAACCCUGGGGCGCAAACCGGAUUAGAUACCCGGGUAGUCCAGGGUGCAAACGCUGCUUGCUUGAUGUUAGCUGGGCUCCGGGCUCAGCUAGUGUCGGAGAGAAGUUGUUAAGCAAGCUGCCUGGGAAGUACGAUCGCAAGAUUGAAACUUAAGGAUUGGCGGGGAGCACAGCAACGGGUGGAGCGUGUGGUUU
rnacentral:rRNA from 1 species